GGCUUUUUGAACUGCUGUUGUUGUUAUGUAAGAAAAAUAUGUUCAUUUCAAUGUUCAGUAACCAGUAUUGAACACAGGUUGUGUGCCAAGCAACCUAUUAAAUUCUGGGGCUAACAAGAGAAUAAUAAAGUCCUCAGAUGUCACUUUUAUGGGGUAGUAUCUUACCCUUUCAUGGGUCUUAGAGGCUUUUGAGAAUAUGAUAAAAAUGUGUACAUGCACAUAUUUAUUUGUUGUUUAUAUGGUUUUAGAGGAUUCACAGGUGAAUCCUGUAAAGAGAGAAAGAAAAUAAAAAAAACUAUGUAAUACAGUGUGAUGAGUAAGGUAUUAAGGCCAGCAGAUGAAGUAAUAAUUAUGUUUGGGGCAUUGAGUAAAGGGGUGGUAAUUGUUUGGAAAGACCUUGAAGAAUGAGAAAGAAAACCAUUUGGAGGUGGAAGACGUUAUUGCAGGCAAAAGUAGUAGAAGAGAAGACGGUGUGCAAAUGCCCACUGUGUUUCAGGUUGUAGCUGAGUUCAUGGAAAAUAAGAUACUCAAAUGAAGGACCACACAGGGCCUAUUUAGAGCCGAUAGUGUGUUGUUUUGUCACCUGAACUCUUGGUGCCUUCACAUUGUGCAAAAUAAUUUGCUCAGGAAAUGUCACUCUUAGACACGGCAAGUGGGAGGGUAAAUUGACAACUCUGGAGAGUAGUCCGGCAAUAUUUCUCAAAUUACGUAUACCCUCUAGCCCAGGAAUUUAGCAUUUGUUAUGCUUUUAUAUGUGCAAAGUGGCAUAUAUAUGCCGUAUAGAUAAGGAUAGCUAUUUAGUAUGAUA